rnacentral:SRP_RNA from 1 species
GGAUCCCCGCAAUGGGAGCCCGCGAACCUGGUCAGGUGAGAAAUCAAGCAGCCAUAAACGGUAACUUUUAUGUGCUGGGGAUUC